rnacentral:lncRNA from 1 species
GUUGGGGUCAAUCUGGAAGACCUGUGCUCCGGUGGUGAAGAUGGGCUGUUCUUCCAUCCCCGGCACUGCUCCGGCGGCCACUCCGACCCGGCCUCUCACGCUCACUGUCCGCCCGCUUGGCGUCUGCUACCGGCGCGGCACGUGCGGAGGCCCCUGCGCGCCUGGCUCAGCCCAGGCGCCGCUCCAUUCCACCAGGCGCGGGCAGGCAGGGGCUCUCGAAAAAUCAUUCUAAGAGAUAAAUUAAAAGAGUAAUCUGUAAUAAGGGGAAUAAUCUGUAAUAAGCAUUCCAACUCAGAAAAAAACUGAAUAUAUGUAAUACAUAUAAACUCCUGAGAAGAAAGGUCGAAGCACAAGAAGGGUCUCAUGUGUAGCAGCCUGUUGAGAAAAAUGAAGAGCCCUGUAAUCCUGAGGAGGGGGCUUAAUCCAAAGAGAGAUGCUCCAGGUCCUGUGCACAUGAAAGAUUUGCCUGCUUCUGCCCAUCCAGGAGCUUACUUCCUGAAGCCUUUGAAGCCUUCAGGAGGCAGGAGGCUGAAUGAGUUUCUCAGGACAAUCUAAUCAUAUCCUGACAGGGAGAAAAAAAUCAUGACCUAGGACGG